rnacentral:rRNA from 1 species
AGUGAACGCUGGCGGUAGGCCUAACACAUGCAAGUCGAACGGCAGCACAGUAAGAGCUUGCUCUUACGGGUGGCGAGUGGCGGACGGGUGAGGAAUACAUCUGAAUCUACUUUUUCGUGGGGGAUAACGUAGGGAAACUUACGCUAAUACCGCAUACGACCUACGGGUGAAAGCAGUUGAUCUUCGGACCUUGCGCGAUUGAAUGAGCCGAUGUCGGAUUAGCUAGUUGGCGGGGUAAAGGCCCACCAAGGCGACGAUCCGUAGCUGGUCUGAGAGGAUGAUCAGCCACACUGGAACUGAGACACGGUCCAGACUCCUACGGGAGGCAGCAGUGGGGAAUAUUGGACAAUGGGCGCAAGCCUGAUCCAGCCAUACCGCGUGGGUGAAGAAGGCCUUCGGGUUGUAAAGCCCUUUUGUUGGGAAAGAAAAGCAGCAGGUUAAUACCCCGCUGUUCUGACGGUACCCAAAGAAUAAGCACCGGCUAACUUCGUG